rnacentral:rRNA from 1 species
GACGAACGCUGGCGGCGUGCUUAACACAUGCAAGUCGAACGAGGUGGCGAACGGGUGAGUAACGCGUAAUCAACCUGCCCUUCGGAGGGGGCCAACAGUUGGAAACGACAGCUAAUACCGCAUAAUGAAGGAGGGGGUUGGGUCUGAUUCGCUAGUUGGAGGGGUAACGGCCCACAAAGGCGAGGAUCAGUAGCCGGGCUGAGAGGAUGAACGGCCACAUUGGGACUGAGACACGGCCCAGACUCCUACGGGAGGCAGCAGUGGGGAAUAUUGCGCAAUGGGGGCAACCCUGACGCAGCCAUGCCGCGUGUAUGAAGAAGGCCUUCGGGUUGUAAAGUUCUUUCGGUAGCGAGGCGUUAACUACAGAAGAAGCACCGGCUAACUCCGUGCCAGCCGCCGCGGUAAUUC